rnacentral:rRNA from 1 species
CCUACGGGAGGCAGCAGUGAGGAAUAUUGGUCAAUGGGCGGAAGUCUGAACCAGCCAAGUCGCGUGAGGGAAUAAGGCCCUACGGGUCGUAAACCUCUUUUGCCGGGGAGCAAGGGCAGGUACGUGUCCCUGCCCGGAGAGUACCCGGAGAAAAAGCAUCGGCUAACUCCGUGCCAGCAGCCGCGGUAAUCCGGAGGAUGCGAGCGUUAUCCGGGUUUAUUGGGUUUAAAGGGUGCGUAGGCGGGCUUUUAAGUCAGCGGUAAAAAUUCGGGGCUCAACCCCGUCCGGCCGUUGAAACUGGGGGCCUUGAGUGGGCGAGAAGAAGGCGGAAUGCGUGGUGUAGCGGUGAAAUGCAUAGAGAUCACGCAGAACCCCGAUUGCGAAGGCAGCCUGCCGGAGCACUACUGACGCUGAGGCACGAAAGCGUGGGGAGCAAACAGGAUUAGAUACCCGAGUAGUC